CUGGUCCCCACUGGGGUGGCAUUAGGGGGUGCCUUUGGGGAAGUGACCCGGGGGUGAGGCCCCGUUCCCAGGAAGCUGAGGGAACUAGUGUGGGUGUCCCCCUGUCCUUUCUGAUGCGAGGUCCUAGGAUUCAGAUCAGGGCCCUCGGCAAACACACCCCCGCCUGAGCCUCCGCCUGAGCCUCCGCCUGAGCGCCCCGCCUCAGACCCUGGAUGAACCCCUGCUGUUGGCCUGGGUGGGGGCUGGGGGAGAGCCCCGGGCUGGGCCGGGUUCUGUCCUGACUCAGCACCUCGGUGGUGGGUCCCCCGCUUUCCAUGGCUGUGAGCAACGCGACUUCCAGGAGGAGAAGUUCACAGCGGCUCACGGUUCCCAGGGUGGAUUCCGUGGUGGCUCGGCCCUUCUCCCCACUGUCCACGCAGCUUCCGUGGAUACUCCACCAAAUGGAUUAAUCCACCAAAUGGAUCAACCCCCUGGUGAUGUCAGCACCCUCACGGUCCGAUCAUGGCCUAAAAGCUCCCCCCUGAACCUUGCUGCGUGGGGACCCACCAUCAACACAGGAGCCUCUGGGGACAUUUCAGGUCCCUGCUGUGAGAUCGCCAUCAUGGUGACAGGUGCCUGUCACCAGGUCAUCUGAAACCAGGAAGCUCCGUGGCACUGAGCCUCAGAGCCUGGCUUUUGGGGAACUGCGAAUGGCACGAUUCCCAAGGUCCACUGGGAUUUCUGCAGCACUGUUUAUGAGAUAGUCACCUUUUCAUUAAACGUUUCCAGAUAUUUACCACGAGGUUGAUGCUGUAUUUCUCUCGGGAACAGAACUUUUAGAAAAAGAGUUGAAUGUCCAGCAGGUUCUAAUGUUCUCCAGUCCCUUCCACCAAGAUUCAAAGCUUGGUGCUCUUCUCCCCUCCCUUUUUAUGCUGCAGGAUUAGAACCCAAGGCCUCCCGCCCACUAGGCAAGCGCUCUGCCCAC
rnacentral:lncRNA from 1 species